rnacentral:rRNA from 1 species
CCCGCUGAACUUAAGCAUAUCAAUAAGCGGAGGAAAAGAAACUAACAAGGAUUCCCCUAGUAACUGCGAGUGAAGCGGGAAAAGCUCAAAUUUAAAAUCUGGCGGUCUCUGGCUGUCCGAGUUGUAAUCUAGAGAAGUGAUGCCCGCGCUGGACCGUGUACAAGUCUCCUGGAAUGGAGCGUCAUAGAGGGUGAGAAUCCCGUCUCUGACACGGACUACCAGGGCUUUGUGGUAUGCUCUCAAAGAGUCGAGUUGUUUGGGAAUGCAGCUCUAAAUGGGUGGUAAAUUCCAUCUAAAGCUAAAUAUUGGCGAGAGACCGAUAGCGAACAAGUACCGUGAGGGAAAGAUGAAAAGAACUUUGGAAAGAGAGUUAAACAGUACGUGAAAUUGCUGAAAGGGAAACGCUUGAAGUCAGUCGCGUUAGCUAGGACUCAGCCUCGCUCUUGCGUGGUGUACUUUCUGGUUGACGGGUCAGCAUCAAUUUUGACUGCUGGAAAAAGGUCUUGGGAAUGUGGCAGCUUCGGCUGUGUUAUAGCCCUUGGUCACAUACAGCGGUUGGGAUUGAGGAACUCAGCACGCCGCAAGGCCGGGUUUCGACCACGUUCGUGCUUAGGAUGCUGGCAUAAUGGCUUUAAGCGACCCGUCUUGAAACACGG